rnacentral:rRNA from 1 species
CAAGUGGUGGAGCAUGUGGUUUAAUUCGAUGAUACGCGAGGAACCUUACCUAGGCUAGAAUGCGCGUGACCGGCUCAGAGAUGAGCCUUUCCUUCGGGACACAAAGCAAGGUGCUGCAUGGCCGUCGUCAGCUCGUGCCGUGAGGUGUUGGGUUAAGUCCCGCAACGAGCGCAACCCCUAUGUUUAGUUGCCAGCAUGUAAUGAUGGGGACUCUAGACAGACUGCCUGCGCAAGCAGUGAGGAAGGCGGGGACGACGUCAGGUCAUCAUGGCCCUUACGCCUAGGGCGACACACGUGCUACAAUGGACGGUACAGCGGGUAGCUACACAGCGAUGUGAUGCCAAUCUCGAAAAGCCGUUCUCAGUUCGGAUCGGAGUCUGCAACUCGACUCCGUGAAGCUGGAAUCACUAGUAAUCGCGCAUCAGCCAUGGCGCGGUGAAUACGUUCCCGGGGCCUUGUACACACC